rnacentral:rRNA from 1 species
UACGUAGGUGGCGAGCGUUGUCCGGAUUUACUGGGCGUAAAGGGAGCGUAGGCGGACUUUUAAGUGAGAUAUGAAAUACUCGGGCUCAACUUGGGUGCUGCAUUUCAAACUGGAAGUCUAGAGUGCAGGAGAGGAGAAUGGAAUUCCUAGUGUAGCGGUGAAAUGCGUAGAGAUUAGGAAGAACACCAGUGGCGAAGGCGAUUCUCUGGACUGUAACUGACGCUGAGGCUCGAAAGCGUGGGGAGCAAACAGG